UUCGCAGGCGGUCUGAUAAGUCAGAUGUGAAAGGCAAUGGCUCAACCAUUGUAAGCAUUUGAAACUGUCAGACUUGAGUUAAGGAGAGGAAAGUGGAAUUCCUAGUGUAGCGGUGAAAUGCGUAGAUAUUAGGAGGAAUACCAGUGGCGAAGGCGACUUUCUGGACUUAUACUGACGCUGAGGAACGAAAGCGUGGGGAGCAAACA
rnacentral:rRNA from 1 species